rnacentral:rRNA from 1 species
UAAGUUAGAAAGGGCGCACGGUGGAUGCCUUGACACUAGGAGUCGAUGAAGGACGGGACUAACGCCGAUAUGCUUCGGGGAGCUGUAAGUAAGCUUUGAUCCGAAGAUUUCCGAAUGGGGAAACCCACCAUACGUAAUGGUAUGGUAUCCUUAUCUGAAUACAUAGGGUAAGGAAGACAGACCCAGGGAACUGAAACAUCUAAGUACCUGGAGGAAGAGAAAGCAAAUGCGAUUUCCUGAGUAGCGGCGAGCGAAACGGAACAUAGCCCAAACCAAGAGGCUUGCCUCUUGGGGUUGUAGGACAUUCUAUACGGAGUUACAAAGGAACGAGGUAGACGAAGCGACCUGGAAAGGUCCGUCGUAGAGGGUAACAACCCCGUAGUCGAAACUUCGUUCUCUCUUGAAUGUAUCCUGAGUACGGCGGAACACGUGAAAUUCCGUCGGAAUCUGGGAGGACCAUCUCCCAAGGCUAAAUACUCCCUAGUGAUCGAUAGUGAACCAGUACCGUGAGGGAAAGGUGAAAAGCACCCCGGAAGGGGAGUGAAAGAGAUCCUGAAACCGUGUGCCUACAAAUAGUCAGAGCCCGUUAACGGGUGAUGGCGUGCCUUUUGUAGAAUGAACCGGCGAGUUACGAUCCCGUGCGAGGUUAAGCUGAAGAGGCGGAGCCGCAGCGAAAGCGAGUCUGAAUAGGGCGUUUAGUACGUGGUCGUAGACCCGAAACCAGGUGAUCUACCCAUGUCCAGGGUGAAGUUCAGGUAACACUGAAUGGAGGCCCGAACCCACGCACGUUGAAAAGUGCGGGGAUGAGGUGUGGGUAGCGGAGAAAUUCCAAUCGAACCUGGAGAUAGCUGGUUCUCCCCGAAAUAGCUUUAGGGCUAGCCUUAAGUGUAAGAGUCUUGGAGGUAGAGCACUGAUUGGACUAGGGGUCCUCAUCGGAUUACCGAAUUCAGUCAAACUCCGAAUGCCAAUGACUUAUCCUUAGGAGUCAGACUGCGAGUGAUAAGAUCCGUAGUCAAAAGGGAAACAGCCCAGACCGCCAGCUAAGGUCCCAAAGUGUGUAUUAAGUGGAAAAGGAUGUGGAGUUGCUUAGACAACUAGGAUGUUGGCUUAGAAGCAGCCACCAUUUAAAGAGUGCGUAAUAGCUCACUAGUCGAGUGACUCUGCGCCGAAAAUGUACCGGGGCUAAACACACCACCGAAGCUGCGGAUUGAUACCAAUGGUAUCAGUGGUAGGGGAGCGUUCUAAGGACAGUGAAGUCAGACCGGAAGGACUGGUGGAGUGCUUAGAAGUGAGAAUGCCGGUAUGAGUAGCGAAAGACGGGUGAGAAUCCCGUCCACCGAAUGCCUAAGGUUUCCUGAGGAAGGCUCGUCCGCUCAGGGUUAGUCAGGACCUAAGCCGAGGCCGACAGGCGUAGGCGAUGGACAACAGGUUGAUAUUCCUGUACCACCUCUUUAUCGUUUGAGCAAUGGAGGGACGCAGAAGGAUAGAAGAAGCGUGCGAUUGGUUGUGCACGUCCAAGCAGUUAGGCUGAUAAGUAGGCAAAUCCGCUUAUCGUGAAGGCUGAGCUGUGAUGGGGAAGCUCCUUAUGGAGCGAAGUCUUUGAUUCCCCGCUGCCAAGAAAAGCUUCUAGCGAGAUAAAAGGUGCCUGUACCGCAAACCGACACAGGUAGGCGAGGAGAGAAUCCUAAGGUGUGCGAGAGAACUCUGGUUAAGGAACUCGGCAAAAUGACCCCGUAACUUCGGGAGAAGGGGUGCUUUCUUAACGGAAAGCCGCAGUGAAUAGGCCCAAGCGACUGUUUAGCAAAAACACAGCUCUCUGCGAAGCCGUAAGGCGAAGUAUAGGGGGUGACACCUGCCCGGUGCUGGAAGGUUAAGGAGAGGGGUUAGCGUAAGCGAAGCUCUGAACUGAAGCCCCAGUAAACGGCGGCCGUAACUAUAACGGUCCUAAGGUAGCGAAAUUCCUUGUCGGGUAAGUUCCGACCCGCACGAAAGGUGUAACGAUUUGGGCACUGUCUCAACCAGAGACUCGGUGAAAUUAUAGUACCUGUGAAGAUGCAGGUUACCCGCGACAGGACGGAAAGACCCCGUGGAGCUUUACUGUAGCCUGAUAUUGAAUUUUGGUACAGUUUGUACAGGAUAGGCGGGAGCCUUUGAAACCGGAGCGCUAGCUUCGGUGGAGGCGCUGGUGGGAUACCGCCCUGACUGUAUUGAAAUUCUAACCUACGGGUCUUAUCGACCCGGGAGACAGUGUCAGGUGGGCAGUUUGACUGGGGCGGUCGCCUCCUAAAGUGUAACGGAGGCGCCCAAAGGUUCCCUCAGAAUGGUUGGAAAUCAUUCGUAGAGUGCAAAGGCAUAAGGGAGCUUGACUGCGAGACCUACAAGUCGAGCAGGGACGAAAGUCGGGCUUAGUGAUCCGGUGGUUCCGCAUGGAAGGGCCAUCGCUCAACGGAUAAAAGCUACCCCGGGGAUAACAGGCUUAUCUCCCCCAAGAGUCCACAUCGACGGGGAGGUUUGGCACCUCGAUGUCGGCUCAUCGCAUCCUGGGGCUGUAGUCGGUCCCAAGGGUUGGGCUGUUCGCCCAUUAAAGCGGUACGCGAGCUGGGUUCAGAACGUCGUGAGACAGUUCGGUCCCUAUCCGUCGUGGGCGUAGGAAAUUUGAGAGGAGCUGUCCUUAGUACGAGAGGACCGGGAUGGACGCACCGCUGGUGUACCAGUUGUUCUGCCAAGGGCAUAGCUGGGUAGCUAUGUGCGGAAGGGAUAAGUGCUGAAAGCAUCUAAGCAUGAAGCCCCCCUCAAGAUGAGAUUUCCCAUAGCGUAAGCUAGUAAGAUCCCUGAAAGAUGAUCAGGUUGAUAGGUUCGAGGUGGAAGCAUGGUGACAUGUGGAGCUGACGAAUACUAAUAGAUCGAGGACUUAACCA